rnacentral:rRNA from 1 species
AACGAACGCUGGCGGCAGGCUUAACACAUGCAAGUCGAACGCAUCCUUCGGGGUGAGUGGCAGGCGGGUGAGUAACGCGUGGGAACGUGCCCUUCAGUUCGGGAUAACCCAGGGAAACUUGGGCUAAUACCGGAUACGUCCGAGAGCAGAAAGAUUUAUCGCUGAAGGAUCGGCCCGCGUCUUAUUAGCUAGUUGGUGGGGUAAGGGCCCACCAAGGGGACGAUCAGUAGCUGGUCUGAGAGGAUGAUCAGCCACAUUGGGGCUGAGACACGGACCAAAGUCCAACGGAAGGCAGCAUUUGGAAAUAUGGGACAAUGGGGGCAAGCCUGAGCCAGCCAUGCCGCGUGAGAGAUGAAGGCCUUAGGGUUGUAAAGCUCUUUCGUCCGGGACGAUAAUGACGGUACCGGAAGAAGAAGCCCCGGCUAACUUCGUGCCAGCCGCCGCGGUAAGAC